rnacentral:ncRNA from 1 species
AAAAAAACUAUGAGUAAGAGUAGUAGCUUUAAAAUGUGUCUUCAGAGAGUAAGUGGUUGGUGUGAACUUAUGAUAUCUUUUCUAGUGAAUGGACUUACGAGUGAGAGCUGAAAUAAUAGUAUGCAAUACGUAUUCCCACGUUAUAGGGAUAGGAUAUAUAUUAUGUAUCUGAAAAUGAGAUGACAAGUUUUACCUACUUUUUUAGGUAAUGCAUGUUAAUAGAGGUGGCAACGCGAUAAUACGCCCUCUAC